GAAGAAUGUAGCAGUAGCAAGCACAUGGCAGAGAGCAUGCAGAACACAUGUAAUGAAGAGCCUGCAGGAUCCGAGGUAAGGAGGACUGCAGCAGUAAGAGAGCCAUGUGCAUCGAGCCGAUGCACAGGCCUGAGUAACAGCAGAGGGAAAGAGAGUGUGGGACCCAUGGCUGCUCUCCUAUCAGUCGCUGAAGAUUAGCACAUGUGAGACCACUGGCCAAUUACUCAGAUACCGAGGAUGAUGAUCAUGAUGGGACUGAUGAUGAUGAUGGAUCUGGACCUGAAAGUGCCGUCAUCUCUGCUGUGCCUCGAAGGAGAAGUCAACCACCACCACCACCACAGUCAGAUGAUUUUCGGGACUAGAUCAGGGAGGUUAUGACUGAUGUCUUUCAGACUUAGAUAAGGGACCUAAUAGGUUAAUUUUUUCCAAGACAUGGCCAGGGCCAUGCAUGACUCAUUCAGGGAAAUAGUCCACAAGAUCAUUUGUAAUAUUCAGCCCUGUAAGGGUUGGCCCUUAGGACUAUAAGUAUUGUCUGUGUGAUCUACUUGUGUACUGCUGCCACCAUGGUGUUUGCCAUAUAACCAAUUGUACUGUAUAGGCACAUUUGUGCAUGCAUAACAUAUUGCUGCCAUGCAUAUGUGAUACAUGUCUGACUGAACAAUGCAGAUGUCAUGUGACAUUUUACAUUAUGUUUCACCUGGAGCAUGACACACAUUACUACAUUAAACAUGCAGUACUCAUGUUGAUGUUCAUAA